rnacentral:lncRNA from 1 species
UCUCACCAUAAAAUUCGAUCUCAAAUCUUGAUCUAGAGAUUCCAUGCGUUCUUGAUUAUGAUCAAUCUUGGUGGGUUCAUUGUUUGAUGUGAAUUGGAGGGUGUGGAUGAGAUGAUCAGAAGCCUUUCUGUCUGAAUCUGAGGCUUUACUACCAAAGAGUAAUCUCCUUUGGACUUCUUCUUGUUCCUUAUAAUCUUCUUCUUCUUGUUCUUCUCUUCUUCUGUUUAUCUUCAAGUACAAGUCAGGUUGUGAAGGGAAAAGCUCCAUAACAAGAGAGAAUUGGGAAUGAAUCAGAGAUAAUAUUGAUGAAUUUGGGGAAAGGGGAGGUGGGUGUAAUCUUAUUUAAUUCAGAAAGUUAUUUUUUCAAUUGAAUAAUAUUAAGACAGAUACAUAACAUACCUUGAGGAGUUACUCCACAGACCUUGGAGAUCUCUGGCAUGUCUCUCACUGUUUACUUUUAAUUCAUUCUCGCAAGUAUCUGAUUGCCCUAUAUCUACAUUUAUACACACCCACACACACACACACACACACACACUUAUCAUAUAUUUAAUAAUGUUUAAGAGAGAAAUUAAUUUAAAAUCAAAACAUAAUUAAUCAAAUAACCUGAUGAUGUUGUAGGCUUCUCAGUAGAUUUGAUGGUCCGAUACAUCUGAAACAUUAUAUUUGAUUACAAGCCUACUAAUAUAUAUUAAUGAUAGUUAUAAGAAUAAGUUAUGUCGAUCUUGUGACAAAAAAAAAAGGUUAUGUCGAUCAAUACAUAUACUAUGCGCGCAUGUAUGUAACUUAUUCUAUUCACGUGUGUGUAUACUUCUCUCUCUAUAUAUGUGUGUGUAUGCACGCACACAGAGAUGAAUAAAGUAAGAAAAAAGAGAACAGAGUAAAUAAGAAAGCAUUUACGAUUCAUGAAAAUGUGCAGCCAUACACAGAGAUGGGGUAUGUGCAUGGGUCUACGUGUCUUUUUCUAACCAUAGUCAAAAUAUGCAGAAAAGUAAUUUAUAUAUUAUCACUGAAUAGUCAUAUGCAUAUACAUAUAUGAAUCUUGAGAAAGACAUAUAUAUCAUCAUUGACGAAUUAUGCCUUCUUUGUACUUUACUUUUUCUUCAACAUCUCUUAGUAACAAUGCAACAUAUGAAAGGACCCCCUUUCCCAAAAAAAAAAACAUAUGAAAGGACUCACUCUUGGUCUCUCGGCUAUACUAGGUUUUGAUUCCUUUUCCUAUGUUUUGUUGUUGUUAGUUUUAAUUGUUUCACCUGCUAUAUAUUUUCUCUAUGGUAGAGACCAAACGAUUUAUCACAGAAAAUGUUUAGUCAAUUCAUUAAUAGUGCAGUGGGUUCGGUUCAUUUGCACAUACAAAUACAAUACAAGGAAAUCAUGUGGUAGAUUGUUGUUCUAUCUACACAUUUUAAAGGUUUAACUAAUUAAAUUAGACUAACUAGUAUACAUUGUAUAAGCUAGGAACUAAUGGAUAAAAUUACCUGUAGAUGAGAUUUAACAUGAGCCAAUGUGAGAUCUUGAACAUCCAUCAACUCAAGUACUGAUUUUGGAGUGGCUCCUGGAUAUUAUUCAAAAGCACAAAAUCCAUAAAAAUAUAAUCAUAUAUUGAGAUCUCAUACAAUAAUUAGAUAAAAAGGAGAGAGAUAUAUAGUAUUCACUAAAAAGGAAAAAAGAACAGGAAAUAGUAAAAAAAGGACAAUACUUUCAUGACCACCCAAUAAUUGAACAGCAUGAACGAAAUGGGCAUGGAGGGUCGUCGUCCACCGCAUCCUCGGAGCCCUUACUCCUCGUUUUGCCGUUAAUCUUUGCGCCUGCGGCUGAACUUGACGAUGAUGACGGUGGUGAAGAUUAUAACUAUAACUAGGGUUUGCGUGUUGACCGUUGACUUCACUGAAGAAGAAAGGAGGAGUGGGAGAAUAGUAGUAGUGGUCAAGGAUUUGAUUUUGGUGAAGAGGGAUUCCUCUUAUUGGUCUCACCAUAAAAUUCGAUCUCAAAUCUUGAUCUAGAGAUUCCAUGCGUUCUUGAUUAUGAUCAAUCUUGGUGGGUUCAUUGUUUGAUGUGAAUUGGAGGGUGUGGAUGAGAUGAUCAGAAGCCUUUCUGUCUGAAUCUGAGGCUUUACUACCAAAGAGUAAUCUCCUUUGGACUUCUUCUUGUUCCUUAUAAUCUUCUUCUUCUUGUUCUUCUCUUCUUCUGUUUAUCUUCAAGUACAAGUCAGGUUGUGAAGGGAAAAGCUCCAUAACAAGAGAGAAUUGGGAAUGAAUCAGAGAUAAUAUUGAUGAAUUUGGGGAAAGGGGAGGUGGGUGUAAUCUUAUUUAAUUCAGAAAGUUAUUUUUUCAUCCUUAAUGAAUGUUUGUUCUUGGUGAGAGGAGAAAAUCAGUUGCAAAGGCUUAGAGAGAGAAAUAGAGAGA